rnacentral:rRNA from 1 species
CCUACGGGUGGCAGCAGUGAGGAAUAUUGGUCAAUGGGCUUACGCCUGAACCAGCCAAGUCGCGUGAGGGAAGACUGCCCUAUGGGUUGUAAACCUCUUUUGUCAGGGAGCAAAUGGCGCUACGUGUAGCGUUAGCGAGAGUACCCGAAGAAAAAGCAUCGGCUAACUUCGUGCCAGCAGCAGCGGUAAUACGGGGGAUGCGAGCGUUAUCCGGAUUGAUUGGGGUGAAAGGGUGAGUAGGAGGAAUGCCAAGUCAACGGUAAAACCGCGGGGCUAAAUGUCGCUCCGCCGUUGAAACUGGCGUGCUUGAGUGGACGAGAAGUAUGCGGAAUGCGUGGUGUAGCGGUGAAAUGCGUAGAUAUCACGCGGAACUCCGGUUGCGAAGGCAGCAUACCGGCGCCCAACUGACGCUGAGGCACGAAAGCGUGGGUAUCGAACAGGAUUAGAUACCCUUGUAGUC